AGUUGUUAUGACUUUGUAAGAGCUUUGCAAAGUCAAGGUUUGUUUUAGAUGACUUGGGUUUUAUGAAAUAAAACAGGGUUUACGUUUUGGGUGAUUUCAAGAGUUUUUUAAUAGAUCUAUGGGUGAAAUUUUGUGGGUUUAUGGUUAUAGUUGUGUUUAAUAUGUGUUGUGAAUUUGAGCUUGAUCUAAUAGUUGAUUUGAGGAAUAUUGAGGUUUAAGAGGGUCACAAUCUCAGAAAGUAGAAUUUUAGGUCUAGUGAGGAUUUUUAAGAUUUCUUGUAAUUUACUAGUUGGAUUGGAGUGAAACUUAUGUAAGAGGAUAUUAGACUUGUUUUUCUAUGUGUAUGAGAAUUUUGAGAUCAAUUGAAUAGUACAAAGGAGAGAUAUUGGCUCUAGAAGAUUGGCAUUAAGGUUGGAGAAGGAGGCCGACCAAUAUGUGAGCCAGGUUGUUAUUGCAAUUUUCAUUCUUCCUUCCAUAGCCAAGUGCCCGGAACAUUCUCAAGGAAGA
rnacentral:lncRNA from 1 species